CCUCAACGGUGACAGUCAGCUGCCUUCUGGGAUAAUUUAGCAAAGCUCUCCAAAGAUCGUGGAACCCGCUUCCCUUUGCUUUCCCCAAAGGGAAAACAACUGCCUUCAAGGUUGUACUGAGAAAACAAAGCCGGCGGCCCAGUGACGGAUUCGAGAAGUUGGCGAUUUCCCGAAGAUUAAAAGAUAAUAACACUUCUAUUAUGAUCACUCAGCUGUAUUGAUCUCAUCAGGGAAGCCACCGCAGGUCUCAUAUGAGCAGAGGUCUUUUUGGUCCAGGCAGAGGAAUAGCAGGACACCUUGGUACAGCAGCCUGGGGCUUCCUUCCUCGUUUCUCCUUUCGUGGUUCUUGCAAAGGUGUGAAGCCCAGACGACCAGUUAGCUCGAAGCUCAGAAGAUGAGCUAGUUCCACCUCUGUCUUUGGAGAGCUCUCCUGAAGACUGGCACAGCUUGAACUAGAGGUUGCAUGAGGGCUCCAUGGUGCAUCCUCGCCAGCAGACCCAAGAGUAGAGUCGUCUUUGCCGUAGCUGUGAGAGCUGGAGCGACUAAAGCCACGGGAGUGCUUCCAGGGAUACACUUGGGCAUUCACAUCCAAGUGGUUUGGACCCCUGAAGAGAACACAGUCCUGAUC
rnacentral:lncRNA from 1 species